rnacentral:rRNA from 1 species
GUGGGGAAUAUUGGACAAUGGGCGCAAGCCUGAUCCAGCCAUGCCGCGUGAGUGAUGAAGGCCCUAGGGUUGUAAAGCUCUUUCACCGGUGAAGAUAAUGACGGUAACCGGAGAAGAAGCCCCGGCUAACUUCGUGCCAGCAGCCGCGGUAAUACGAAGGGGGCUAGCGUUGUUCGGAAUUACUGGGCGUAAAGCGCACGUAGGCGGGUAUUUAAGUCAGGGGUGAAAUCCCGGAGCUCAACUCCGGAACUGCCUUUGAUACUGGGUACCUAGAAUAUGGAAGAGGUAAGUGGAAUUCCGAGUGUAGAGGUGAAAUUCAUAGAUAUUCGGAGGAACAACAGUGGCGAAGGCGGCUUACUGGUCAAUUACUGACGCUGAGGUGCGAAAGCGUGGGGAGCAAACAGGAUUAGAAACCCUUGUAGUCC